AGCAGCCGCGGUAAUUCCAGCUCCAAUAGCGUAUAUUAAAGUUGUUGCAGUUAAAAAGCUCGUAGUUGAAUUUCGGGAUUGGCGCAUCGGUCGUGCCUUACGGGGUAUGAACUGGUGCAGUCAAUUUCUCACCUUCUGGAGAACCGCGAUGUCCUUAAUUGGGUGCCGCGGGGAACCAGGACCUUUACUUUGAAAAAAUUAGAGUGUUUAAAGCAGGCAUUUUUGCUUGAAUACAUUAGCAUGGAAUAAUAAAAUAGGACGGCAUGGUUCUAUUUUGUUGGUUUCUAGGACCACCGUAAUGAUUAAUAGGGAUAGUUGGGGGCAUUAGUAUUCAAUUGUCAGAGGUGAAAUUCUUGGAUUUAUUGAAGACUAACUACUGCGAAAGCAUUUGCCAAGGAUGUUUUCAUUAAUCAAGAACGAAAGUUAGGGAUCGAAGACGAUCAGAUACCGUCGUAGUCUUAACCAUAAACUAUGACCGACUAGGAAUCAGACGAUGUUUAAUUUUUUAAUGUACUUCGUU
rnacentral:rRNA from 1 species